UCAGCCAGCACAUCUAACACUGCUGGAGCUCAGGAGGGAGGGAGAACUGGAGCUUAGAAAGGAAAGCACAGGACAAGAAUGAGGGGCUGCUGCUCUUCAGGGUAUGUAGGCUGGAGCUGUAAUGAUAGCUAAUGUCCAGAGACCCCAGCUUUUGGACUUUUAGAAGGGUAGAAGACUCUGGCUUGUGCUGUUCCCAAUAUAGGUUAGUUACCUCAAAAUUAGAAAUAGUUUUUACCUACAGUUUCAGGUAUCUGAUCCUAAUAGCCAUAAGAUAAAUACUGCAUAAACAAUUAUUUUUUAAACUGUGCUUACAACCCUUUUAUGUAUGUAUCAUUUUCUUCUCUCAAAAGGAAAAAAAAAACAAGGGCAUUUCUAUGCUCUCCCUGAUUUUCAACAGCUGCAAAAUGAAGAUUUUUGCUAUUGGCCUUGUCUCAAAAAAAGAAAAAAAAAUCUGGGUGAAAUACCAGAAAACAAGAUCAAGGCUUUUCUUCAAUAUUACUAAUUUCUGGAAUAUUUAAGUAAAACUGUCUAAACCAUUAGCAAAACUAUACUAAUGCUACUCCAGUACAACAAAAUCUUCCCAAAUGCUGCUUUAUUUUCAGACUCUUGUUAUCAAAAGGAGUAUCUUCUCCAGACCUUUCUAUUGAGCCCUGUUAGUUGGUCACCUGUGCUGUUUCCUGGGCAGCACUGCCUGAAGCCUCAGUCUUUAUCACUUUUGAGUCUGAACUUGCAGGAGUUCAAGGAGGUUGGAAAUCAGGGAAUUUUCUUUUGUUCAGCUGCAGAAAGGGACCAUGAGACAGUGCCCAUCAGAGCUAACUGUCAUGCUCAGUCUCCACUGAAAUGGACAAAUGUGCUUUAUGCAUGCAACCCAUUUAAUGCUCACCAAGAAUUUGGACUGCACUGGAUUCUUUAGGCAAAGACUUCUUGUGUAUUAUUGAAGAGUGCCAGAACUGAAUGCCAUGAAUUAGCCAAAAAGAAUUUCCAGUUUGCUCUCAGAGGACAAUCAGACAGCCAGCUAUAUACCUUGGAAGGUAAUGAACCCCCCAUUCUGGUAUGAAAUUUUCCUGUAGGCACUGCGAUUGUGGCGUGCUGGGAAAACAGAUUCCUCCUGCACAGCACAGGUGCAAAGGCAGUUUAGAAUCUGGUACUGGUGGUAACCUUGCUGAGAGAUAACUUUUCUCAUUGUCUUUCUCUCUGCCAAUCAUUUGUGUGGAAAUACUGACCUCUUGCAGUGCCUUAAAGGUCAUUUCUCCCAAAGAAGAGUUGCUGAACGAAUCACAACAGCUGUCAAUUAGGCUGCUCAUUUCAAAAGGAUGACAAUUAUCCUUGUGUAUCCUCAUUUGUUGUGGUAGUUCUGCCUUGCUAAUAAUCCAGGGCAUUUGACUGUAAGUAGGGUUUUCCUCUGCCUGGAAAUACACUCAAUUUUUUUUAAUAAAUUAAGAGUCUGAAUUGUAAGAGCCAUUAUGACCUGACAUUUGUGCAUGUACUUCUCUUCCUAGAAGUGUAAGCUCAUAAUCUAUAAACAGUCCAAUGUUUGAUAACAGAAAAUAGUAGGCAUUAAUCAGAGAUAAAUUAAUAAAGGCUGUGCAAUAUAGAAGCAAGCCCAGCUCCCUUUGCUUGGUCUCUUAAACACUCAUACAAAUAGCAGAACCAAAGCCCCAGGGCACACACAUGUCCAGUGUGACUGUGGAGGGUUUAAGAUAAAGGCACCAAACCAUUUCAUUUUGUGCUGCAGCUCCCCAUGAAGUUAGAGGGGCUGCUUCUCCCAGGUAUGGGUGCUGGAUAUGUGGAGUGGGACCCUCACAAAGCAGAUGCAGUUUGGGUGUUGGUAGUGCAGUCAUCUCUCCCCAGCUGCUCUCCUUUUCUCACAGAAAGAUAACAACAGUAGCUGCAGCUCCUGGCAUGUGCUUUUAACAACAAACUCAGGAGAAAUCGUUCUGCUACUAAAGCAGAAUUUGCAGUGCAUUAUUUAUUUUCUUCUCAAAACACAGCUGAUGGAGAACCCUGUAAGACAGUAUUAUGUAUCUGGAGAAAGGAAAUUUUUUGUUGUAGUGCUGGCUAUAGGUCUGCUUGCAACUGGUUUACAAGAGACAUAGGCCAGCAGAAAAGCAGUAGAAUGCUGAGAUCCCAGUGAUGGUGCUUCAUUGGGAUACAGUGACUUCGGUCAGCUCUCUGCCUGUAGUCCUGCAAUGCUCUUUUUAGUAAACAUUGUCUGUUGGCAUUCAGGUAACACUCCUUUGAUUAAUUGAUUUUUCCCCACUUUGAGUUGAUUUGGAUACCUCUAUUGCCAUACUUGACUUUUGCUCUACUGUUUUGCUUUGCUUUUGAAGUGGGUCCCUAAUCAUGGAUGGAACAGCUCCCCCAGGGAAGUGGUGGAAAUGCCAUCCCUGGAAGGGUUCAAAAAAUGAGUAGAUGUGGCAUGGUGGUAUUCAGUUGAUGAUUGUACUCGAUGGUCUUAGAGAUCUUUUCCUACCUCAAUGAUUCUGUUAUUCUAAGUCUAAAGUCUAUAUUGAGACUAUACUAUAACAUAUUAGGGUCAAGAGACUAUAAAGACUUGAUUUGCAGUUUUUGAGAAACUACAAAAAGUUUUAUGACUAUUUGUUCAAUGUUUUAAUUAAUGUGAUUAAUUAGAAUUAAAUUAAUAUGCUUAAAACCACAAUCCUUUUACACCAAAGUGUCUCUGCAAUGCAGCUUAAUUUCUGAUCCAGAAAUCAGCUGAUUGAUCCCUAGCCAGUGUCCUUGUUGGAAGACAUACAGCUGCAUCCUCAAUGAGCUAGGAAUCUUUUGAAAGCUUCAUGUAUUUUUCAGGGAUUUCCUGGAAAUAUUAGCUGCUCCCCUGCAAAGUGACGACUUUUAUUAGUCAGAGAUAAUUAUGUCUGCUUUAUAGUGAAAUAGAGAUUAAAAUUUGAAGCAAUUAGUACUAUGUCCAUCAGUGAGCAAAGCCCAAGAGCAGUCUGAACUUUGAGCCCUGCAGUGCAAACUGAUCUGCUCAAGCCUCCGAGUGAGACUGCAUCUUGGUAAAGUUACUCCCAAGCUAUGCAGCACUGACCUUUGUCUCAUUCUCCUGCCUGUGUUAAACCUUGGAGGUGAAGUCUGAAAUCUUAACUUGGAAUCUUGUGCACACAGCACGCCUGGUGCAGCUGAACAAUCAGGCCAGGAGCUCUUGUCUCUAAGGCAGCUUGUUCCCUUAAUGGGCUUGCUAUCAGGAGCAACAAAACAGGUGAGUAACUGUUUAACUCCUCAUGUGAUUAGAAAGGCUACUACACCUAAUUUGAGAAAGCAACCUUCACCAAAAGUUAGACACCUGUUUCAGAGGUGACCACGAGAACAAGGCUUAGCUUGGGCAAUGAAUGGAGACAGGCAGGGCAGUGUGUGUCAUACUCCCUUGUUGGCUGGGCGUGCUUUCCUCUGUCCUCUUGUAAUUCCCUGGCUCUUCUUCCACAGAUGCAUUUCAGAAAUCCCUUUCCAGAACUUGUAACUUGCUGACACUGUUUGUCUGCAAAGAGAAUUCUUCAUACCCUUGCACAUUCAACCAAAGAGAGGUAUUGCCUCGCCCCACUCUCAUUGUUGCAGUUGUUCCCCAGAGUUAAAGGAGCAUAACCAGAAAAUGUACAACUCAGAAGCAUGGUGGAUAAUAUUUAUGGCCAUUAGUCAGUACUCCACCACUAGGAAAACGUGCUGGUCUUAGCUUGGCAUUUGAGUGAAAGUGAUAGAGGGCAGACAGAAAAACAGAGCAAGGAAUGUCUUAUCUUCCUGUAGAAAACACAAUCUUAUCCACGAAUCCUUUUCUAGAGGUGACCUGUAGGGAUUUACACUCUGCCCACGUUUAACAAACCAGGGAUUUCUGUUUAUCUCACAACACCCUGCCCAGCCUCUGACUUACUUGUAGCAGAGCAAAUCAGCCCUGCCAAGCUGUACAUCUGAAACCUAAUAAAAAAUUGGAGCUGUGAUGUCCCAAGAUUUAGAAGCAACUGUCUGGCUGCAGCAUAACGUGAGGGGAGAGAACAGCUGUAAAUAAUUCUGGAGAAAGCUGCUCAGAAUCAAAUAGCUUUAAAUCAGAUCUCAGCAUUUUCAUCUUCUCCUUCACUAAAGAUACAUUGGAUAAAUUAAAGUUCAAGUGCCUGAAAUUCAGGAGCACUCGUGUUAGAGCUAGCCUUGCUGCCAUGGAGGGCAGGGCCAAUCUCAUGGUUAAAAGCAUGAUGGCUGUUGCCAGGUCAAUGAUUAUGACUUAAAAUUACUUUCAUAAAAUAUCACCCAUGUUAAAAAAUGACAGUAAAACCACACAGAAUGCUUAUAAAUACCUAAUGUAAAUAGGGAAUAUUGAAUUGAAUGAAAACUAUCUAAAGCCUCUAUUUUCACUAAUUUUUUAAAAUCUACUUUUCUUAUGAGAGUGUUAAAAUAAUUCAUUUAUUUGUGAAAAGAUUAGUGCGGCUUUAUAGUUUCAGAUGCUUGAAAUCUAAUAUUUCUCUUUCAUGAAAUCUUAAACAGUGAUUGGCAGAAUAAUAAAGGAUACAUGGGGACUAAUAAUUACAUGGCAUCUUUUAACAGGACUUUUUAAUAGAUGUUCUUCAAUUCUCAUUUAAGAACUGUAGGUAAGUUCUCAUUUUACAUCAGUGACUAAAGAGAAACUUUUGGUUUUUUUAGAGCAAAAGAUGAUGUAUUAUGGGAAACGCAGGACUUGGCACCAGGGUCAGAAAUACCUUCUCUAUCACUCUAUUCCAGAUUUUACUAUCAAGCUAUCAAAUUUUAAAAGCAAGUAAAAAAUGUAAGAAAAUUAUGCAAAGCAGUAAAGAAAAAGUGUUUGUUUAAAAACAGCUAACACAAUUUUGCAAUCUGAUUUAAAGUUUUAAAUCUAAUUUCCAUAGUUUUUGUUAGCUUCAGCUUCAGCCUGAACUCACUGUUUUGUCAGUGUGCAUUACAGUUCAGCACUCCUUUCUGAAAGAUCUGUCAUGUUGUAACAAAAGAGAGAGACUGCUUUGGAAUAAUUCUAUAAAAGAACUGAGAAACCCUUGAUUUUGGCCAGUAAUGAGUAACAAAAAUGACUUAGAUUGGGAGCAAAGCCAACUGUCUGAGCAACAAUAUUCAUUGAAGAUGCACUGAAGUUAUAUAUGAUUAUGAGAAUGCCAAGUGUGUGGCUUAUUAAAUUUGCUUGAAGAGAAUUCUUGGGUGGAGAUAAAGAAAGAGGCAGUGCAAGUCUCACAGAAACAGCUGCAUAUGAAAGGGUAAUAUUUGGAUUAGAAAAUAAAUUAGAAGAAUUCAAAGGAAUCCAACAACAAUGUUUGAACCAUAUCGUAAAGGAGGCUGAGGAUUAAGGGCUUAUGGGGAAGAGAAAAACAGAAUAGAAAAGUGUGCAUAAAACUCAUAGCUCCAUAGAGAAACACAUAAUCCCUUUUCUGUGUGUUCAAGGGUAAAUUUGGUUUAUUUUCACUAUUUUGUUUUGCACUUGUUGAAUAGGAGGGAAUAACAGAGUAAACAUGAACAAAACCAGGAUGCGUUUAAACAAAAUAUUAGCUGAUUCUGCAGCUGAAAAGCUUCAUAGUUAAUUAAAAAUACCAUAACCUUGGCUUUUUCUGUCUCUCUCUUAGGCUAUGCAUCAUUAAAACAUGCAGAUGAAUCCCUGAAAAAACCUUCUAUUCAAACUAAUGAACUCUUCCGAAGAUUCUGAAACAGCAACACUUUUGCCCCACAUUUGAAACUACAGUGCUGAAUAUCUGGCCUCAAAAUAUUGUUAGACAUUAUUGAAGUCAGACAUCUGAUGUUCAGGAGCUUUUAGCACUGAGGAAGGUAAGUGGUCUAUAUAUAAUUUUCCCCUCUUUCUCCUUCAGUUAAUUUCUACAGCACUAAGAUACUUUAACACUUCCCCUCAGCAGUUUGUGUUUGUACCAAAGAGAAAGCUUUUAUUCUUGCUAGUGGGGAGGUUAAGCAUUUGCUAUUUACAAGUAGUGUGUGGAGGAAAGAUGGACCUGGGGGUUUUUUAUGUGUCAUUUGAUGACAUGCAGUACAAAAGUGUGUUUUAAUUAGGAAAAAAAAAGUAAUUACUUGUACAUGAAUUAAGCCUAAAUUAAUACAAAAGUUAUCACCUGGAAGGCAAGAGCUUAGCUGGCAUGGCAGCAGAUAAUCCUUGUAAAGGUAUUUGCUUAGUUGAUGGAGAGCUCUGUAACAGAGAUUUUGUUUUUUUUGUUACCCUUAACCUGGCCCCAUUUUCCCUUGCAGCAACAGUUCCAAAGUCCAGAAGAAUCCCACAGCACCACACAGUAAAUUCAAGCCAAACAACAUUUGGCUUUGCUCUGCUGGAGCACAUAGGUACAAGUGUUUCAUUUCCAAGCUGUACAGUCCAUCCA